rnacentral:rRNA from 1 species
UACGGGGGGGGCAAGCGUUGUUCGGAAUUACUGGGCGUAAAGGGCUCGUAGGUGGCCAACUAAGUCAGACGUGAAAUCCCUCAGCUUAACUGGGGAACUGCGUCUGAUACUGGAUGGCUUGAGUUUGGGAGAGGGAUGCGGAAUUCCAGGUGUAGCGGUGAAAUGCGUAGGUAUCGAGAGGAACACCUGCGGCGAAGGCGGGUUGCUGGGCUGAUACUGACGCUGAGGCGCGAAAGCCAGGGGAGCGAACGGG